CCGAUCGGUCAAUGGUCCGAAGCUACCAUCUGACGGAUUAUGACUGAACGCCUCUAAGUCAGAAUCCUGCCUAGUCAAGGCAACAAUAAUGUUGCUUCCCGGUGUCGGGAGGCAUCCUUAUCUCGUGGUAACACGAGAGCUUAUGCCCUAGUAAAUGGCCUUGCCAAUGGGGAGAAUCCCUAUUGGUUGCCAAAGCCAGAUCACUCUGGUUCAAUGUCGGGGCGCAAAAUCACUUGCUUACGACUUGUAUACUGGUCAAGGUGUUGUAUCCAGUACGAGCAGUCUCUUUAUACUGCGAUCUGUUGAGACUAUCCUUUGAUUGGAUGUUUUGU
rnacentral:ncRNA from 1 species